rnacentral:rRNA from 1 species
AAUUACCCAAUCCUGACACAGGGAGGUAGUGACAAGAAAUAACAAUACAGGGCCUUUCGGCUUUGUAAUUGGAAUGAGUUGAGUCUAAACCCCUUUGCGAGUAUCAAUUGGAGGGCAAGUCUGGUGCCAGCAGCCGCGGUAAUUCCAGCUCCAAUAGCGUAUAUUAAAGUUGUUGCAGUUAAAAAGCUCGUAGUUGGAUUUUUGCUAAAUCUUGUGCAUGUGCUUUUCUUGCUCCUGCAC